GCUAGAGUGGCAGAACCCGGUUUUGCGAAAGGCCUAAGCCCUUUAUACGGAGGCUCAAAUCCUCCCCCUAGCU
rnacentral:tRNA from 1 species